CUUCCCUCCUGGUUGCGCUGUUUCCAGCCGCCUCACCAGCGUGAAGAAACGCAAACAAUGAUUUGAGAGAAUUGCAAUCACUCCUUCAAAAGUCUGAUGAAUCCCUAAUGCAGGGCACUGCCGUCCUUGUGAAAGGGACGUUACAGUGAACUUGUUCAAUCACACAGCAAGUGGAAGAACUGCGAUCUGAAUAACAUGUCCUACACAUCUAAGCAGAAACAAGAUCAUAGAGGCUGUAUAAGCUAUGCCAAAGGGCUUGGACUUUGUUCAAGGCAAGCGGUGAGGAAGCUGCUGGAAGAUUUUAAGCAGGAGAAAUGACAAGAUCAGAUUUUAUUUAUUCAUUAGAGGAGAGAGAGAACGCAAGCAGAGAAGAGGGAGAAGCAGGCUCC